AUAUUUUUUAACACAGAUACGUCAUGGUGCAUAUGCACAGGUUUAAAAAGGAAAGCUGCUGGUUCAUUGUGUGAGUCUGGAGAAAGUGUCAGUGGAAUCCAGAAACUCUGCAGGAAACCUAGGAGAAAAAAAGAAAGAAAACGGGUAUUUUAUUCCAACAGAUACUCCUGGAUGAAUACAGGUACAGAUGAGAGAAACUUGGCUUUUGGUUACCUUUUGGUUUUGGUUUAUUUACAUUGCAUUGUUAUCUGGAAGAUGGAAAUGGGGAAGAAACACCAGUAUUGCAACAUGUGAUUAGGGGUUCAAGAUCUUAUCAUAUGUCUGGGAUUCUUACCUGGCCGGGAUGCCUGGAGGGACC